rnacentral:rRNA from 1 species
CCUGCCAGUGGCUAAAGCUAAACGGCCGCGGUAUCUUGACCGUGCAAAGGUAGCAUAAUCAUUUGUCUUUUAAAUGGAGACUUGUAUGAAUGGCGGAACCUUCUUCAACUGUCUCCCUUUCCACUCUCCCAAAUUUCUAUUUCUGUGAAGAAGCAGAAAUAAAAGAGAAAGACGAGAAGACCCUGUCGAGCUUCAGCUUAAAGGUGAAAAAUUAAACAUCAUCCAAAAGCUUUGGUUGGGGCAACCAUGGAGAAAACACAUCCUCCAGAAAAAAUAGAAGAAAACCCUUCACUAUUUUCAACCUCAAAGAACCAGAAACUGGUAAUCGGAAAAAGUUACCGCAGGGAUAACAGCGUAAUCUUCUCUAAGAGUCCUUAUUGACGAGAAGGUUUGCGACCUCGAUGUUGGAUUGGGGCCUCCUUUGGGUGCAGAAGCUCUAAAAGGUUAGACUGUUCGUCUAUUAAAGCCCUACGUGAUC